rnacentral:rRNA from 1 species
GACGAACGCUGGCGGCGUGCUUAACACAUGCAAGUCGAACGGAAAGGCCCUGCUUUUGUGGGGUGCUCGAGUGGCGAACGGGUGAGUAACACGUGAGUAACCUUCCCUUGACUUUGGGAUAACUUCAGGAAACUGGGGCUAAUACCGGAUAGGAGCUCCUGCUGCAUGGUGGGGGUUGGAAAGUUUCGGCGGUUGGGGAUGGACUCGCGGCUUAUCAGCUUGUUGGUGGGGUAGUGGCUUACCGAGGCUUUGACGGGUAGCCGGCCUGAGAGGGUGACCGGCCACAUUGGGACUGAGAUACGGCCCAGACUCCUACGGGAGGCAGCAGUGGGGAAUAUUGCACAAUGGACGGAAGCCUGAUGCAGCAACGCCGCGUGCGGGAUGACGGCCUUCGGGUUGUAAACCGCUUUCGCCUGUGACGAAGCGUGAGUGACGGUAAUGGGUAAAGAAGCACCGGCUAACUACGUG